AACGAACGCUGGCGGCAUGCCUAACACAUGCAAGUCGAACGAUGCUUUCGGGCAUAGUGGCGCACGGGUGCGUAACGCGUGGGAAUCUGCCCUUGGGUUCGGAAUAACAGUGAGAAAUUGCUGCUAAUACCGGAUGAUGUCUUCGGACCAAAGAUUUAUCGCCCAGGGAUGAGCCCGCGUAGGAUUAGCUAGUUGGUGGGGUAAUGGCCUACCAUGGCGACGAUCCUUAGCUGGUCUGAGAGGAUGAUCAGCCACACUGGGACUGAGACACGGCCCAGACUCCUACGGGAGGCAGCAGUGGGGAAUAGUGGACAAUGGGCGCAAGCCUGAUCCAGCAAUGCCGCGUGAGUGAUGAAGGCCUUAGGGUUGUAAAGCUCUUUUACCCGGGAUGAUAAUGACAGUACCGGGAGAAUAAGCUCCGGCUAACUCCGUG
rnacentral:rRNA from 1 species